AGACUCUGGAGAACUCUUAAGUGAGUGCCGAAGGUGCAAGGCGGCAACGCACGAAGCCGCCGAAUCUCUCAGGCAAACGGACAGAGGAU
rnacentral:ncRNA from 1 species